GAUAUUGGAGUGAAAUCGUGUAUCACUCAUUCGCUAUAGCCGACACUCUACAGAGUGAAAAAAUACUUGAUGGCUUGAUGGUUCUAGAUUGCUUGGUAGCUUGAGAGGAGACAAAGAGCUGCAAGAGAUAAAUAUAAUGGAGAGAUUUUUUAAAAGAAAACUCACACAAGAAAGUGGAAGUGGAAGUUCAAGCGGUAAUUCUUCUUCGAUCCCCAAAGAGGUUGACUUAAAUGACCUCCCUUCGGAUCCUGCAGAAAGGGAAAAAAUUUCAGAAUAUCACCCAAAUCAAAUUGAUGAAAUCAAGAGAGCAUAUUUGAUUAAGGGGUCUUGUCAAUCCCGUGGCCAUGAUUUUCCAAAAAAAGUCAUUGGAAACAAGCAACGUCGAUUUAAUCCUGAGUGGUUUGAUCGAUAUGCAAAUUGGAUAGAGUACAGCAUAAAAGAAGACAAAGCAUAUUGUAUGUGCUGCUACUUAUUUAGAGAUCAUUUUGGAAAACAAGGUGGAAGUGAAGCGUUUGUAAUAGAAGGAUUUUCUUCUUGGAAUAAAACAGAGAGACUAGCUGCCCAUGUUGGACUAGCAAUAGCGCUCACUAUAUAUCAGUGAAGAAAUGUGAAGACGUUUGGACUUGGAUACAAAAUAGGUGAAAGUUCACAAAUGGGUGCACAAAAAAAAACCCCAAAAUUUGUAAAGUUUGUUUCUUCCACCUCUAGGACUUUAGAGCAGGAAAAUCAAAGGUGCAAUAUGCCAAACGUGGUGAAUGCUAAAAAUGGGAGGGCAUCUCCUCCGUUAAGGUAUGAAAAUUCUUAUCGGUUUGGCCGCACAGCUCAACCAUUCCAUCCUCAAUCCUUCUAUAGGAGGCAAAUUUCACAAAGGUAUGACUAAGAAGGAAAAUUUCUUUAACAGGUUUCAACCGCUACCUGAAGAGGUAACUCAGGAUAGGUUACCUAAAAGGUUACCCAGAAAGCUACCUGAGGCAAAAUAGCCUACACAAGCACCUCAAGCUAGUAAACAAUGGGUCAAGAGUUCAGAAUCAAGGUGCAUGUUUGUCCAGACAGUGUUAGUUGAAUUCAAGACUAAUUCCUGAUACCUUGACAGUGGCUGUUCUAGACACAUGAGCGGUAACAAAUCAUUUUUCACAUCUAUUGAGUCUUUCGAUGGUGGAAAGGCAACUUUUGGUGAUGGUAGUCAAGCUGAAGUAAAAGGUAAGGGCAUGAUAAGAGCUUUUGAUAAAUGCAUCUUAAAAAAUGUUCUAUAUGUUGAAGGUCUCAAAGCCAAUUUAAUCAGUAUUAGUCAUUUGUGUGAUUCAAAAUACUCUGCCUUGCUCACAAAGUAAUUUUACAGGAUCUCCAAUGAUAAUCAUACGUGCAUUUUAAAGGCUAAGAGAUCUUUGGACAACUGCUAUACUAUCCCAACUGAGGCUGACUUUUCAU